GGACGAUGCAUCUGACCAGAAGAGGGGAGUAGUAAGUUUCUGGGGUACACUGAAAGAUCCCUCACUCUGUGUAAUUACCCAGGAAAUGAAAUAGUCUUGUCCAUGUGGACAUUGGUGCCCAAAUGAGAAAAAUAGUGUAUAUAUCCUGACCACUUAAAAGUCAUGCUUUUUCUGAGAGAACCUCUGAGCUCGAAAGACUGUGAAAUAGUAUGUCUGCCUGUACCAGAAUCUUUCCUGAGUAGAGAAUUUCAUCAGGAAGGAAGAGGCCCAGAGCAUGCACAUAUGUUGAACUCUUGAAGGGCACCCAGUUUGAAAGAGAACAUCAAAGGCCUGAAUCACUGUGAAACAUGCUGUCUGCAAGUACUAGAACACUUCCUGAGAGCAAGGGACACUGCCAAACCACUAGAGCAAAAGUUAUGAUGGAUAAAGAGACAGGUGUUCUGGUGACCUGUAACCCCAUCAGGAGCCCUGAGGGUCACCUCCUGCUAAACCAAACAUAACCUUUAUCAGUGAAGGUCACUCCUGAGAAACCCUGUUGAGAAACCCUGCAGACAGGAAAGCCAAGGAGGCCUCCUCCUUCCCAUUGUCAUUGUCUUUUAAGGGAGCUUGAACAGGUUGGCUCCUACAGACUUCUUAAAAAGCCUGGAACACUCUGCUAAUUCUGUGUUCCCGUACUCUUCAACUGAGUCAAGAGAAGAAAACAGAUAUUUGGAACUCUGAUCCAAUCAAAUUAAUAUUCUGGUGAUCAGAAGCCAAGACUGUACAGAGAUUUCUGAGGCCUCUCCAGGAAUUCUGUCCAGAAUCACGCUCUGGAGGACUUCAGUGUGCGAGAAUGUACAGUACAUUGGAUGGACUCUGGGGUCUAAGGAAUGAAGUUUGUCCUCAUUAGGACAAAAAGAUACAAGAGGAACGCCCGAGUACAUAUAGAACACAGGGUGCCAUGAUGUGGAGCCCGAAGACAAGGGAGGCUGCUGAACACUCUAAUGCCUGUAUGAGUGAACUUGGACAUGAACAGUGUAGCUGGAUCUGUUUGCCUUCAGUUCAAGCUGCAAUGUUGUCACCAUCUCCUCUUUAAGCCCAUGUAUCCUUGACAAGGUUGUUCUGCCCUUCAAGCUCAUAUGAUGGUUGUGCAUGUAGGAGACCUAGCCUUCUGUCACCAAGGAAACAGAAAGCAGAGGAGGAAUGUGACCGUGGGAGGCUGCAGGCAAAAGUGAUGUGGGGCCACAACUGUACCUGGAAGCUACAUGGUACAAUCCCUGAGGCCCUGUUCAGACCUUCAUUCUAUUCUGGUGUCUUCCUAGUGACAGCCCUGCUAGCCAAUGACAACAACUUCUCCCUGAUCUUCCCCAGCCUUGCUUCCCAGUCCUGAGACUUGAAGAGCACAGAGGAAGGCCUCUUGUAGGUCAGUCACUGGCUCUGGACCAUUGACCACUACCACUGCUUUUACUUGGGAUGGUGUUCAAAUUGUGGGAUGUCUGAGAAAGCUGGGUUCCACGUUUUUGCUAUGCAACCUGUUCCUCACGUCCUGGACUUUGCCGGCUCCAGUCCUCAGGUACUAUCAUGGAAGCCAUUACUCUCUCCACAGUCCUGUCAUUCUUACCCACAAAUAGUAAGGAUGUAGAUUCACUGUAGAUGUGAGCACAGCUUGUAAACUGUCUAUGUGAAUUGGUGUCAUCUGUCCUUUUGUCAGUUGCCAUUCAGUAAGCAUUGUGACGUGUAAGGCUCUCAGGAGAAGCCAGAUCCCAGUGGCAUUAGUGUGACAAACAAGCUGUGCCCAAGGAGCUGACACUCUGGCAGAGUCCAGGACAUCCAGGAAGACAGAGGUGGUGAGGUAAGUCUGCAUCAAAACAGGUAAAAACAGUAAUAAAACUGUCAGUUCCCAUCCUUGUACAGGUUGUUGGGAAACACUGUCCCUGAGAAGACAGCUCUGUCGAGCUGAGCCUGGAGAGAAAGAAGGCAUGAGAAGGAAGGCAAUGGCAGCCAUGUGACAGGCAGCCAUCAAGACCUGACAAGUGUCUGUGAUACUGUCAUAGAUAUUUAUGGACACCCUAAAAGGACAUUUAUUGUGUUUCAUCUCUUAAUGAAAUGCUGUUCUCCACGCACAUCACAGACCCUGGGAGUGUUGGGUAUUGCUACCUGCCAAAGGCCUGAAGUGUGCACUACUGCUGGUGGUGGGAUUGUCAGAAGGUGAGGAGGCCAUCCUGAUAGAGAGACAGUGUAGGAAUCCCAGAAACAACAGCCAUGUUGCUGCAUGUGGCUAACCAUCGUUGAUUUUGCAUGUCAGUUUCUAAGCCGGUAAGGAGUGCAGAUAAAAACUGUCACCAGAGGUAAUCCUGAACCUCGGUUGUACACCAGCACUGUAGUUGGCUUUAUCUCCCAUGCAGACACUCAGUCUCCCUCAGCACACCCUCUUACUGUCCAGGAAUUUUCUUAGCUAUACAAAUAACACACUGGGUUGUUACAGGUCGAAUGACCUAGCCAAAUCCUGUGUUCUCUUACAUUCUGUCCCUGUCCUCUUUUUAGAUAUCACCAACUAUGACUCUGACAUCCAAUGAAGCAGUCGAGGGCCAUGAUGCUUUUCUGACUGAGGCAACACAGCCUGGAGCCCAAAUCCCGAGGCUGUGCACCAAAGUCCUUCCGUUUGUCACUGAUCCUGGUGCUUUCCCACAAGAAGUUGCUCAAUGUGGCUACCAGGGAGGCCAAACAUAAGCCUGUGUCUGCAGACAGGAGGGCACCAACAAUGUGUCAAGCAACCUCAUCUGCAUCGUCACAAGCAUCUGCAGUGUGGAUAUCUGGUCAACAUGGUCGUUUGACAGUUGUGGAGCCCCUCCCACCAAUAAAGGUUAGCAACUUGUCGGGCUUUCAUGGCAUUUAUGGCAGCUAGAUUGUGCUUCUUUGAGUAAGUCCAAAUCAGUGCUACUAGGUAUGUAUGAUGCUUAUACACCUUACCCUAAUUUAAACAGAUGGUGUGGGCACUGAGAACAUGUAGCCCUGCAAAGCAUUUUAAAUUAUUCACAUAUUUCUCAUUUACCUAUUCACUCUCCCCUACAUCCUGUCUGUAGUCUGUCUCUUCUCUCUCUUCUCUGUUUUUAUAUCUUUUGUUCCGUCUUUUUCUCAUUCUUGGCAUCUGUUUCUGACUCUCUCCUGUUCUCUUUCUUACUGCCUAGCUGCCUCUUUGUCUGUCUAUACAUCUGUCUCUCCCUUGCUCUAUCUCUGUCUCUCUUUCUCUGUCUCUCUCUUCCUCUCCCUCUACCUACCCCCCCUCUAUCUCUCUCUCCCUCCCUCCCCAUCCUCUCUCUCCCUCUGUGUGUGUGUGUGUGUGUCCAUGCAUGUGGGGGCAGGUAGCAUGUAUAUUUCCUGGAGAGCCUGUGGAGGUCAAAGUUUAACUCAAGUGAGG
ensembl:lncRNA LOC103690230 sperm motility kinase W-like